rnacentral:rRNA from 2 species
UAGGGAAUCUUCCGCAAUGGGCGAAAGCCUGACGGAGCAACGCCGCGUGAGUGAUGAAGGUCUUCGGAUCGUAAAACUCUGUUAUUAGGGAAGAACAAAUGUGUAAGUAACUAUGCACGUCUUGACGGUACCUAAUCAGAAAGCCACGGCUAACUACGUGCCAGCAGCCGCGGUAAUACGUAGGUGGCAAGCGUUAUCCGGAAUUAUUGGGCGUAAAGCGCGCGUAGGCGGUUUUUUAAGUCUGAUGUGAAAGCCCACGGCUCAACCGGGGAGGGUCAUUGGAAACUGGAAAACUUGAGUGCAGAAGAGGAAAGUGGAAUUCCAUGUGUAGCGGUGAAAUGCGCAGAGAUAUGGAGGAACACCAGUGGCGAAGGCGACUUUCUGGUCUGUAACUGACGCUGAUGUGCGAAAGCGUGGGGAUCAAACAGG